CGAUUAUAAAAGACGGUAAAAUGAACGUGACGCUAAAAUGUCGUGACAGGUGGGCCUGGGAGGUGCAUUAGUCUCAACAGCGGGCGCGGAGGCGGUGGGAAUUAGCAACGGAGUAGCCGCGGCAGCGACAGCAGUGGGGCUGGGAGGUGCAUAAGUCUGAACAACAGGCGCGGCGGCGGCUGGAAUUAGCAACAACAGCAGGCGCGGCGGCGGCGGGAAUUAGCAACAGAGCAGCAGCGGCAGCGACGAAGGUGGGGCUGGGAGGUGCAUUAGUCUGAACAACAGGCACGGAGGCGGCGGGAAUUAGCACAACAGCAGGUGCAGCGGCGGUGGGAAUAAGCAACGGAGUAGCAGCGGCAGCGACGAAGGUGGGGCUGGUAGAUGCAUUAGUCUCAACAGCAGGCGUGGCGGCGGCGGGAAAUAGCAACGCAGCAGCAUCGGCAGCGACGAAGGUGGGGCUGGGAGAUGCAUUAGUCUCAACAGCAGGCGCGGCGGCGGCGGGAAAUAGCAACGGAGUAGCAGCGGCAGCGACGAAGGUGGGGAUGGAAGAUGCAGUAGUCUGAACAACAGGCGCGGCGGCGGCGGGAAUAAGCAUCGGAGUAGCAGCCGCAGCGACGAAGGUGGGGCUGGUAGAUGCAUUAGUCUCAACAGCAGGCGCGGCGGCGGCGGGAAAAUGCAACGCAGCAGCAGCGGCAGCGACAAAGGUGGGGAUGGGAGAUGCAUUACUCUGAACAACAGGCGCGGCGGCGGCGGGAAUUAGCAACGGAGUAGCAGCGGCAGCGACGAAGGUGGGAAUUUAAGAUGCAUUAGUCUCAACAGCAGGCGCGGCGGCGGAGGGAAUUAGCAACGGAGUAGCCGCGGCAGCGACGGCAGUGGGGCAGGGAGGUGCAUUAGUCUGAACAACAGGCGAGGAGGUGGCGGGAAUCAACAACAACGGCAGGCGCGGAGGUGGCGGGAAUUAGCAACGGAGUAGCAGCGGCAGCGACGAAUGUGGGGCUGGGAGGUGCCUAAGUCUCAACAGCAGGCGCGGAGGCGGUGGGAAUUAGCAACGGAGUAGCAGCGGCAGCAACAAAGGUGGGCCUGGGAGGUGCAUUAGUCUCAACAGCGGACGCGGAGGCGGUGGGAAUUAGCAACGGAGUAGCCGCGGCAGCGACGGCAGUGGGGCUGGGAGGUGCAUUAGUCUGAACAACAGGCGCGGAGGCGGCGGGAAUUAGCAACCGUGUAGGCGCGGCAGCGACGGCAGUGGGGCUGGGAGAUGCAUUAGUCUCAACAGCAGGCGCGGCGGCGGCGGGAAUUAGCAACGGAGUAGCAGCGGCAGCGACGAAGGUGGGGAUGGGAGAUGCAGUAGUCUGAACAACAGGCGCGGCGGCGGCGGGAAUUAGCAACGGAGUAGCAGCGGCAGCGACGACGGUGGGGAUGGGAGAUGCAUUAGUCUGAACAACAGGCGCGGCGGCGGCGGGAAUUAGCAACGGAGUAGCCGCGGCAGCGACGGCAGUGGGGCUGGGAGAUGCAUUUAUCUCAACAGCAGGCGCGACGGCGGCGGGAAUUAGGGACAACAGCAGGCGCGGCGGCGGCGGGAAUUAGCAACAGAGUAGCAUCGGCAGCGACGAAGGUGGGGCUGGGAGAUGCAUUAGUCUCAACAGCAGGCGCGGCGGCGGCGCGAAAGCAACGGAGUAGCAGCGGCAGCGACGAAGGUGGGGAUGGGAGAUGCAGUUGUCUGAACAACAGGCGCGGCGGCGGCGGGAAUAAUCAACGGAGUAGCAGCCGCAGCGACGAAGGUGGGGCUGGUAGAUGCAUUAGUCUCAACAGCAGGCGCGGCGGCGGCGGGAAAAUGCAGCGCAGCAGCAGCGGCAGCGACGAAGGUGGGGAUAAGAGAUGCAUUACUCGGAACAACAGGCGCGGAGGCGGCGGGAAUUAGCAACGGAGUAGCAGCGGCAGCGACGGCAGUGGGAAUUUAAGAUGCAUUAGUCUCAACAGCAGGCGCGGCGGCGGCGGGAAUUAGCAACAACAGCAGGCGCGGAGGCGGAGGGAAUUAGCAACGGAGUAGAAGCGGCAGUGACGAAGGUGGGGCUGGUAGAUGCAUUAGUCUCAACAGCAGGCGCGGCGGCGGCGGGAAAAUGCAGCGCAGCAGCAGCGGCAGCGACGAAGGUGGGGAUGGGAGAUGCAUUACUCUGAACAACAGGCGCGGCGGCGGCGGGAAUUAGCAACGGAGUAGCAGCGGCAGCGACGAAGGUGGGAAUUUAAGAUGCAUUAGUCUCAACAGCAGGCGUGGCGGCGGCGUGAAUAAGCAACAACAGCAGGCGCGGCGGCGGCGGGAAUUAGCAACAACAGCAGGCGCGGAGGCGGAGGGAAUUAGCAACGGAGUAGCCGCGGCAGCGACGGCAGUGGGGCAGGGAGGUGCAUUAGUCUGAACAACAGGCGAGGAGGUGGCGGGAAUAAGCAACAACAGCAGGCGCUGAGGCGGCGGGAAUUAGCAACGGAGUAGCAGCGGCAGCGACGAAUGUGGGGCUGGGAGGUGCAUUAGUCUCAACAGCAGGCGCGGAGGCGGUGGGAAUUAGCAACGGAGUAGCAGCGGCAGCGACAAAGGUGGGCCUGGGAGGUGCAUUAGUCUCAACAGCGGGCGCGGAGGCGGUGGGAAUUAGCAACGGAGUAGCCGCGGCAGCGACAGCAGGGGGGCUGGGAGGUGCAUAAGUCUGAACAACAGGCGCGGCGGCGGCUGGAAUUAGCAACAACAGCAGGCGCGGCGGCGGCGGGAAUUAGCAACAGAGCAGCAGCAGCAGCGACGGUGGUGGGGCUGGGAGGUGCAUUAGUCUGAACAACAGGCACGGAGGCGGCGGGAAUUAGCAACGGAGUAGCCGCGGCAGCGACGGCAGUGGGGCUGGGAGAUGCAUUAGUCUGAACAACAGGCACGGAGGCGGCGG
rnacentral:lncRNA from 1 species